rnacentral:rRNA from 1 species
AACGUAGGAGACAAACGUUAUCCGGAGUUACUGGGCGUAAAGGGCGCGUAGGCGGCCACCGCAAGUCGACUGUGAAAUCUCCGGGCUUAACCCGGAAAGGUCAGCCGAUACUGCGGGGCUAGAGUGCAGAGGGGGCAACUGGAAUUCUCGGUGUAGCGGUGAAAUGCGUAGAUAUCGAGAGGAACACCUGCGGCGAAGGCGGGUUGCUGGGCUGACACUGACGCUGAGGCGCGAAAGCUAGGGGAGCGAACGGG